rnacentral:lncRNA from 1 species
GGUGGAAGUCAUCCAGCUGGACAACAACAUCUCGAAGAACCAAUCCUCAGCACCGACCUGUUCAUCAUGAUGAUCAGAAUCCUCUGCAUGAGCGUCCUCGUGAUGCUUUUCUGCACAGAAAUCAAACAUGGAAAGCAGGAGAAAUCCUACAACAUGUCUUGCGCAUCACCUUCAUACUGUGUGAGUUUGGGAGGAAACGGGACCUUGGCCAUCAACGUGGACUCUCAGGUGUUUGUGGCGACCGUUAAGUGCUGCAACUCCAAUCUCUGCAACAAAAGACCUCCUCCCCACCCCGAAAUAAAAAUCUGGAAAUGGCCUGAAGUGCCACAACCAACCACUCCUGAACCAACCCUUCCACCCUGUGGCAGAAAGAUAGAAACACUCCCACCACCUUAAACCAGUCCCUUGGUCUUGGCGACAAACCUUUAAAAUGUUGAUUAAAGUCUGGGUGAAUCUUUAGUGGAUUUUACAUCAAACAUGCAGAUCUUAACAAACUUAUCAGACCACCACCCGCUGUGAGGUUAAAUCACAGCAUUGGUAAAUAUCUUUGUUUCUGUCAUUUAGCUAAUCUCCUAAACAAAACAAAAAGAUGGUUAGUGUUCGAAUACAUUUGUUAACCAACAUAUUUGAUGUUUUGCCUUUUAGCGAUGGAAUUAGAUGAUGAAUUAAUGAAGAUCAAACAUUCCUUCAAAGGAGCGUUGGUUACUUCUAACUUCUACAUUUGACUCUUUUAGUAAAGGUAGCAGGGCUGAGUUUCUAAUGCUUUCUUAAAAUGCUUUCUUCAUGGGAACAAUCAUUAAGGGC